UAUAUAUCAUGUUGCUGUAUAACGUGUGGACCACACCAUGUAAACUCCAUGUAAAUCAGAUGAUGUUUAUCACAUAACUGAUUGCUGACUCGCAGGGGGCAUUUUGUCACGCCCAUGUGCAAGCUGUCAAAAAUGAGAUCAAAUGAUAAAAUUAUUAUUAUUAAUAAUAAUAUUAUUAUUAACAAUAGUAAUAAUAAUAAUAAUAAUCUUGUUUUAGUAUAUCAUCAGUUAUUGUCAUAAGGCUUUACAUAAUGUUAGCUGUGUUCUUGGCUGAUGCUAUGUUUGCAGAGUGCUACCUUCACCUGCAUCAUGCUGUAAUGAAAUGAACUCAGAAACAGCAAUUAUUUCAACACAUACAUCCAAAGAAUUUAUGUUAAGUAAUUAACAUGAAAUAUAACACAACUAUAAUAGAUACAGGGACUGGUUGUUUCAGUCAGUAGAGCUAUCAAAUGACUAUCAAAAAUAAUGUAAACCUACAUUAGACUAACAGUAGAAGGGGUUAAACUUAUGUCAACCUUUUGAGAGAGAGAGAGAGACAGUGUGGCGGUGGUCGAACAAGGAAAGUGAAUGGUAGUGAGAACAAAACCUCUGAAUGAGAGAAAUAAAACCUUAUAUUCCUAUUAUUUCACAGCAGUCAUGAUUUAAAGUAUAAAUAAAUAACCAUCAAAGAGUCAACAGAUGAUUUACUGUGGACACAGACGCUCUUAGUUUCACUUUCAGUUUCCUCCUCAGCAUUUCUCCUUUUCAUUCAUUCAUUCCAUCCAACUAAUGCAGCAGUUAAUACAAAGAACAAAAUGACAAACCUGUGUUGGUUCUGUGGUGUGGGGAAUUUCAAAUCUGAUGCCUGCAGUGCACCAUGGGAGCAUCAAUUAUCAUCAAUUAGAGCUAGGGUUAGCCAAUCAGAGGCAGAGUAGGGGUGGGUCAUCACGGAGUUCCAGUGAAAAAAAAAACAGGAGUCAGUCUGGGGGUCAGACCAGGUUUACUUUUGCACUGGGAAGGUAAGCAUCUUUUUUUAAUGUGUUUCUAGUUGUUGUUGGUGUUAAGAAGGGUAUGGCUUAGGGCUGUGAGAUAUGACCAUAUCUAUCCUGUGUCAAUAGAAAAAUGUCUACCAUUUCAUAUUAUACUCUGUCUUUUAUUUCAUUAUGACGCAAAUCACACUUUUUACAGCAAUAUGUCUCAACAUUUGGAGUCUGUCCAUCUUUUACCCGGAUUACAUGAAUAAAUGACUCUUCUUGGCUUUUUACUAGCAAAGCCAGAUGUUGGCAGCCCGCAUUGAGAAAGAGCAGAAAAGAGGAGAGAAGUAGUGAGACAGCAACCGUAAAUGACAGCAAAACGCAGUAGAGACUGUCUUUAUUUAUGUUAUUAACCACAUUUAUGUGCAGUCGUUUAAUUUCAGCUCAGUGUGAGAGUGUGUGCUGUGUUUUGCUGUUGUUUAUGGUUGCUCUCCUCUCCUCUCCUCUUUGUGGUUCACUGUGAGUGGGGCUGAGCCCUCCGUGUGCUGCAGACGCAGGAGAGACAGUGAACCAGGUGAAGUACUCCAGUUGAUGACGACUACACCCAUCACGUUAAGUGCAAGAAAUGCUUCGGAAGUAAAAAGCCAAGAAGAGUAAUUUAAUUUAAUCUGUGCAAAGGAUGGACAGACAACAGAUGGCUUACAGAUCUCCUAGCAAGUCUGCUGAUGUGAAUGACCCAGAGGUGGACAACAUGAGGCAGUUAUGCCAACUGCUAACUGAGUAUUGAAUGUGGUGGGUUUUGUGCUGUUAGUAUUUAUGUGAUUCUUGAGAAGUGGGACAAAACAGUGAAAAAAUCAAACUUUAUGCUCAGACAAAUUAAAUUACAUGUAUGUACCAAACAUGUAAUAAGCUACUGAACUAUGCUUUCAUACAACCUCUCAAUGUUACUUUUUUUUUAAUCAAAACUUGCUUUUUACCCGUCCAUGAUUGAUUUAACAUCAAGAAGUCAUUUGUUAUUGUUAUGUGCGCAGAUUUAAAUACGAACAGGUUUUGUGUUGCUUGAUGGUCUUACCAUGAACCUCCUGGUAAGGCAGGUGAGGCUCCGACGGGCCACAGAGGAAAAAGUUAACAAUUGUCCAGCUUCUGCUGCGUGAAACCAAACAGAAGCUGGAUGUUGCUGAAGCAUCUGCCUGCCUGAUCGAUGAUGAUGAAGACACUGUUGAUCCCACCUCACCUUCCAAGUGUUCCUCACAACCUCCUGGACCCCCAAAAAGAAACCCCUGAUGCAAAUGACUAGUUUUUUGUUUGUUUUUUGUAAAAUGUGUUCAUGUUUUUUAUAUUUUCAGUUCAACAUGUUCUUCAGUUAUGAUUAAAUAAAAAUUGUGUUAUUGAUCUAUUUGUUGGUUGUUGGGUUUUCAUUUUGAGUUUGUAGGAGGAAACAGACAAGUACACAGAUUUAUGCAGAAAUUUACAUUUCUAGGACAGAUUUUUUGCUAACCCCUUCUCCCCACUGACCUACCUAUUAACAUGUUUUAAAAACACUGCCUGUCUGUAAUGUAUUAAUAACCUAAAUCAUUUUCUUUGUGACAUAUUAAUACACCAGAGGGAAUUCAUAUACAUCACUUCAGGAAUGAUUUUAUUCACACAAGUGUCAUACCCACAAAAAAUGGACUUUGUGAGUUAAAUAUGCUCGACAGAAACGGCGCGCUGCAUUAACUCACUACUGUUUACAACUUCUUCAGCUUAGUGAGGAUACACAGGCUCUAAAAACCAACUAACUAACCCUAACUGAUUGUAUUACAUUAUUAUAUAUUAUUAUAUUUAUUUAACAUUUUAAAAUGUUGCACUUUGGGCUCUGUGUUGAUGUUUAAACUAUCACUGUUGUGUUUAAUUUCAUUGACUAAUGUGUAUAUGUCUCAUUAAUAAGUUAAUGUAUGUAAUGUAUUGUCAACAUUAAAAUGUAAGUAAUUGAA